AUCAAUUUAACUUUUUAAAAAUCAAAAUGUUGUUGAAACCAAUGCAAACAUGUUACUUUUGACUCCAAUCCAACUCAAGUAGAUUUACUAUUGUUAAUUUAUUUGUUUAGAGAACAAAUAUACUAAAAUCCUUCGAUUUGUGAAUGUAAGGUAGAUAAAUAAAUAGUUCAUGAAUAUAGUUCAGUUAGUAGAAAUAAUGCAUUGUAAAUAUAUAGGUCAGGGUUCGAAUCUAAGACACCCAACUUAUUCACCUUAAAAAAUUGAAUUAUAGUCAUUAUGCUACUUGACAAAAAAAAAUGCAAAAAUAUGUUAUAUCUUAUAAAAAAAAAGUAUUUUUACUAAAAUAUGUUAAGUCUUGUCAAAAAAAUAAUACUAUUGAUGUAUUUAUCAUUAUUAUAAAUGUAUAAUAGACGAUGUUGCAUUGAAAGUAAUGCAUCACCACCAAUCCAACUCAACUAGAUUUACUAUUGUUAAUUUAUUUGUUUAGAAAACAAAUAUACUAAAAUCCUACGAUUUGUGAAUGUAAGGUAGAACUUCCCUAAUUAAGAAUUUGUAAUCCAUCCUCACAUUAUUUAGUGGCUCUGCACCACAACUAUUUCAAAAUGCACUAACUAGGUAAUAUAUAUUGUAUAUUGCAGUUUCUCCUAAAAUUAUUCUAACCUCCCCUAAUGUAUUUGCAAAUAUCUCUCACACCCCUCUAUUUGCAAAUGAUCGUGUGAUUCAUCAGUUAACAUAAAUAUUUUAUAUUUAUA
rnacentral:lncRNA from 1 species